rnacentral:rRNA from 1 species
UACAGAGGGUGCAAGCGUUGUUCGGAAUUAUUGGGCGUAAAGGGAGUGUAGGCGGCUCUUUAAGUCUUCUGCGAAAUCUACGGGCUUAACUUGUAACGUGCAGAGGAUACUGGAGAGCUUGAGUGUCGGAGAGGAUAGUGGAAUUCCCGGUGUAGAGGUGAAAUUCGUAGAGAUCGGGAGGAACACCAGUGGCGAAGGCGACUGUCUGGCUGACAACUGACGCUGAGACUCGAAAGCAUGGGGAGCAAACAGG